AUGGAGGCGUCUAAGAGUAGUUACGAUGGCAUCAACGAAGCUUAUCGCCCAAUCCCUUCUCUUAACUUGGCUUUUAUGUUGGUUUGGCUCCUCUCUGCAGCUUGUUGGACCGUCAACACUUACAAAAACCGCCAUUUUCAGACGAAUAAAUUGCAAUGGACACUGACCGCUGUUCCAUUAAUUAAAGCUUUGCAGCUGACCUUAUCUUUUCUCUUCUGGUAUUCGUGCUUUUAUCUUCAAGUAUGCUCUUUAUGGAUGUCUUUUGGUGUCUUUGUAACUGGAGUGCUCUUUCAGACUGUAACUUUUGUGUUGUUCCUCCUGAUUUCUCAUGGAUAUUGCAUCACAUAUGAGCGUCUUUCCAUUAUCGAGCGGAGAACAACAGCUGCUCUUGGGUGUGUCUUUUACUUGACUCUUGUUGGUUAUCGAGCAUCCGUACCUUACUUCUCAGCUCUUAUGCUGCUAAACUAUUUCGUGUCCUUCUAUAUGAUAUUCCGCCACAUAUCCCAGAACUUGUUGUUACUACGGGAACAGUUGACAAUCAUUGAAGAUGAGGAAGUUCAUGCAAUGCAUGACGCAAUCUGUACAAAAUACAUCAUGUUCAAGAAAUUUCAAGGUGCAAUGCACAUUGUGGCAAUGGCAGAAUUGGCAAUAUUUUUUAACAUAAACGAUUCAUUGGACAACUAUUGGCUCCGGUUGGUGGUUAGAGAAUGGGCACAGUUCUGCAUUAUCCUUUACAUCGGAUGGACUUUUAGGUCAAAAGACUUGGCACCACGUUUCUCAGUUAUGCCUACUUUAAAGAGCACAGGGAUGAAAAUGGUGCCUCCGAUAUACAGCAUUGAAAUGGAUGCAACAACCUUCAAAGAGUUUAAGAGUCAUGAGUGGCAUAUUGGUGUGGUAAGUUAGGGUUGUUGAAGCUGAAAGCUCCAAGUUACUUUGAAAUGCACUUUCUUGUGAACUUCAACCUUGACCUUCAUUCUUUUAAGUACAAGUGGAAUGUUUCCCUACUCUCCAAUAGCCCACUUCUCUGCAGAAAGGACGCUUAGAGGGUUCAGUCUUAGUUGUGAUUCAGCAUCCCCGUGCAGAUACAAUGACCUCAAUCAGCCCUGCCUCGCUCUGCACCACUCAAGUUCAUGCCUCUAACCUGCCUGUAAACCAAAGAAACUUCAACAAUCAACUUGUAUAGCUGUAGGUAUUCACAAAUAUUAUUAUUUUCAUGAUAACACAUUUUCUGAAAGAAAGGUUCCCGUAUGUCAUACCAGUUCGUCUAUUGUUAUAUGGACUUGAAACUAGAGCAUCUCUGAUGCAAACAGAUUCGUCAUUUUGUAACAUGUUGGGCAGAAAUGUGCAGCCUAAUCAAUAUGUAAAUGGAACAUGUUAGGUAUUUUCUUAUGUGGUAUCUCCCUCCCAGGUUACAAGAAGUAGUGUCACAUAAAUCAA